rnacentral:rRNA from 1 species
GACGUAGGGCGCGAGCGUUGUCCGGAUUUAUUGGGCGUAAAGAGCUCGUAGGCGGCUUGUCGCGUCGACUGUGAAAACCCGGGGCUCAACUUCGGGCUUGCGGUCGAUACGGGCGGGCUAGAGUUCGGUAGGGGAGACUGGAAUUCCCGGUGUAGCGGUGAAAUGCGCAGAUAUCAGGAGGAACACCGGUGGCGAAGGCGGCUUCCUGGACCGACACUGACGCUGAGGCGCGAAAGCUAGGGGAGCAAACGGG